AGAGUUUGAUCAUGGCUCAGGACGAACGCUGGCGGCGUGCUUAACACAUGCAAGUCUACUUGAACGCUCUGCUUGCAGAGAACUAUGGUGGCGAACGGGUGAGUAACGCGUAGACAAUCUGCCCCUUUCAGUGGGAUAAUCUCGGGAAACUGGGUCUAUACCACAUAAUAUCUUUUUACGGCAUCGUGAGAAGAUUAAAGAUUUUAAAUCGGUGAGGGAUGAGUCUGCGUACCAUUAGCUAGUUGGUGGGGUAAUAGCCUACCAAGGCAUCGAUGGUUAGCUGGUCUGAGAGGAUGAUCAGCCACACUGGGACUGAGAUACGGCCCAGACUCCUACGGGAGGCAGCAGUGAGGAAUAUUGCACAAUGGGGGCAACCCUGAUGCAGCAACGCCGCGUGUACGAUGAAUCAGUUUAUCUGUGUAAAGUACUGUUAAUUGGGACGAAUUAUAGGGUUUGUAGCCUUAUUUGACUGUACCAGUAGAGGAAGCUCCGGCUAACUCCGUGCCAGCAGCCGCGGUAAUACGGGGGGAGCGAGCGUUGUCCGGAUUUAUUGGGCGUAAAGGGUAUGUAGGUGGAAAGAUCAGUCAGUUGUUAAAUAUUACGGCUUAACCGUAUUAUGCAAUUGAUACUGGAGAUCUUGAGUUUGAGAGGGGACAGUGGAAUACCUAGUGUAGCGGUGGAAUGCGUAGAUAUUAGGUAGAACACCGGCGGCGAAGGCGACUGUCUGGCUCAUAACUGACACUGAAGUGCGAAAGCAUGGGUAGCAAACAGGAUUAGAUACCCUGGUAGUCCAUGCCGUAAACGAUGGGUACUAGUUGUCGGGGGACUAACCCCCUCGGUGGCGACGCUAACGCAUUAAGUACCCCGCCUGGGGAGUACGAUCGCAAGGUUGAAACUCAAAGGAAUUGACGGGGCCCCGCACAAGCGGUGGAGCAUGUGGUUUAAUUCGAUGCAACGCGAAGAACCUUACCUGGGUUUGACAUCCUGUGAACGUCCAAGAGAUUGGACAGUGCCUUGCCUUCGGGAACACAGUGACAGGUGCUGCAUGGCUGUCGUCAGCUCGUGUCGUGAGAUGUUUGGUUAAGUCCAGCAACGAGCGCAACCCUUAUCGUUAGUUGCCAGCACGUAAUGGUGGGAACUCUAACGAGACUGCCCGGGUUAACCGGGAGGAAGGCGGGGAUGACGUCAAGUCCUCAUGGCCCUUAUAUCCAGGGCUACACACGUGCUACAAUGGUAAGUACAGAGGGCAGCAAGCCAGCGAUGGCAAGCUAAUCCCUAAAGCUUAUCUCAGUCCGGAUUGGAGUCUGCAACUCGACUCCAUGAAGUUGGAAUCGCUAGUAAUCGCGGAUCAGCAUGCCGCGGUGAAUAUGUUCCCGGGCCUUGUACACACCGCCCGUCACACCAUGGGAGUUGAUUAUACCCGACGUCGCUGGGCUAACCCUUCGGGGAAGCAGGCGCCUAAGGUAUGGUUGAUAACUGGGGUGAAGUCGUAACAAGGUUA
rnacentral:rRNA from 1 species